GCCAUCUUGCUGGGCGGUUGCUUUGCAGCCACCUCUGGUGUGGGGCAUUUGAAUGCUACAGGAGCAGGGGAGAAACGGGAAAUUGGGGAGAGAAACACACAAGCCUUUAUCGUUCGGAUCAGCGGGCCUGAUCCCACCAGUGCUGCGGCUGAAAAAGCCAGCCGGAUUCCACUCUGCCGUACGCAUCGGCGCCAGGACUGGCUCAAGACUCUGAUGAAGCAGUACGGCCGCACCCCUGCGAGGGUUGGCUCAGAGAAUGGCAUUAUAUGGAUUUUUACUUCGAAGAGACCCCCGGGUCAAAGAGGAUUGGCAGGCUCAGGGAAUGGGACAUGAGGCCUUCUGAACUUGGGAUGGACUCAAGGCAGAAGGAAAACGUCUUCCAGUGGGCAACAGAAACAAGAGGACAACGGAAAGCACAGCAGGAAAGCCUAGCUUCUCUCCCUAUUUUGAAAGGCACAUCAUAAAU